rnacentral:rRNA from 1 species
CCUACGGGUGGCAGCAGUGAGGAAUAUUGGUCAAUGGGCGUAAGCCUGAACCAGCCAAGUCGCGUGAGGGAUGAAGGCUCUAUGGAUUGUAAACCUCUUUUAUAAGGGAAUAAAGUGCGGGACGUGUCCCGUUUUGGAUGUACCUUAUGAAUAAGGAUCGGCUAACUACGUGCCAGCAGCCGCGGUAAUACGGAGGAUCCGAGCGUUAUCCGGAUUUAUUGGGUUUAAAGGGUGCGUAGGCGGCCUUUUAAGUCAGUGGUGAAAGUCGGUGGCUCAACCAUAGAAUUGCCGUUGAAACUGGGGGGCUUGAGUGUGUUGGAGGUAGGCGGAAUGCGUGGUGUAGCGGUGAAAUGCUUAGAUAUCACGCAGAACCCCGAUUGCGAAGGCAGCCUACCAAGCCAUGACUGACGCUGAUGCACGAAAGCGUGGGGAUCGAACAGGAUUAGAUACCCGAGUAGUC